rnacentral:rRNA from 1 species
UACGGAGGAGGCAAGCGUUGUUCGGAAUCACUGGGCUUAAAGCGCGUGUAGGCGGGGUGUAGGGUGUUCAGUGAAAGCCCUCGGCUCAACCGAGGAAUGGCUGGGCAAACCGACACUCUUGAGGCAGGCAGAGGUAACCGGAACCUUUGGUGGAGCGGUGAAAUGCGUAGAGAUCAAAGGGAACGCCGGUGGCGAAAGCGGGUUACUGGGCCUGAACUGACGCUGAGACGCGAAAGCGGGGGUAGCAAACAGGAUUAGAUACCCUGGUAGUCCACGCUGUAAACGAUGCGCACUAGGUAUGGGAAGUCUGACGCUUUUCGUGCCGUAGCAAAAGCGUUAAGUGCGCCGCCUGGGGAGUACGGCCGCAAGGCUAAA